GGGGAAUAUUGCGCAAUGGGCGAAAGCCUGACGCAGCCACGCCGCGUGUGCGAUGAAGGUCUUCGGAUCGUAAAGCACUGUGGGGGGAGAAGAAACAAGCCGGUGAAGAGCCGGCCCUGACGGUAUCCCCUUAGCAAGCACCGGCUAACUCCGUGCCAGCAGCCGCGGUAAUACGGAGGGUGCAAACGUUGCUCGGAAUCAUUGGGCGUAAAGCGCACGUAGGCGGCCUAUCAAGUCGGAUGUGAAAGCCCUGGGCUCAACCCCGGAAGUGCAUCCGAAACUGAUAGGCUUGAAUGCCGGAGGGGCCCAGAGAAUUCCCGGUGUAGAGGUGAAAUUCGUAGAUAUCGGGAGGAAUACCAGUGGCGAAGGCGCUGGGCUGGACGGUCAUUGACGCUGAGGUGCGAAAGCGUGGGGAGCAAAC
rnacentral:rRNA from 1 species